UGGGACGACGAGGACGAGGUGGACAUCUACGCCCUGAGGCGCACAGCCUUCAUGUGCCCCAUGUACGACCAGGAGGAGAGCAGCGGCAGGGGCAACAAGAGGGUGGCAGUGGAGGCCCUGGACAACAUUCCUUUCAGAAGGAAGAUCACCUUGUGUUAUUUCAUGGGGGGGCGCAGGGUCAUGCUGCCAAAAGACUACUAACCCCACCCCCCUCAAUUUACACAACACCCCCCCUUAGUCCCAGACAGAGAAGAACAGGACACACACAGAGAGACAGAGUGGACACCAACAGGGCCAUCAGAGGGACAGAGAUCCUCUCAGUUGAUGUUAGGAAUGUCAGCUACGAAAAGCUUCAAUAGACCAUCUCUGUAGCAAGAGAACCUCCAGUAAUCAGACUGGGCUGUCCUCUGUCUCCCCUCAUCUCUGAUACAUCAGACUGGGCUGUCCUCUGUCUCCCCUCAUCUCUGAUACAUCAGACUGGGCUGUUCUCUGUCUCCCCUCAUCUCUGAUACACCAGACUGGGCUGUCCUCUGUCUCCCCUCACCUGUACUCCCCCAAGAGGAACACUGCUCCCUGCCUCCGCUCCCCUUCUCCUCUACUCCCCCAAGAGGACUACAGUCUCUCUCUUAUCUCUAAAUCAGUGUUGGGGUCAAUUCAAUGUCAAUACUGUCAAUUCAGGAAGUAAACUGACAUUUUCUCAUAGAGAGGCAUUGAGGAAAAUUGGAAUUGGACUUUCAGUUUACUUCCUGAAUUGUAAAGGAAUUGACCCCAACCCUAAUCUUGUCAUGCACUGACCUGAGAGAGACGGUUUAUUUCUCUAUUUUGUUAGGUCAGGGUGUGGGGUGGGCAUUCUAUGUCAUUAUAUUUCUAUGUAUUGGCCAGGUAUGUUUUCCAAUCAGAGGCAGCUGUCUAUCGUUGUCUCUGAUUGGGAACCAUACUUAGGCAGCUUUUUCCCACCUGUGUUUGUGGGUAGUUGUUUUCUGUUUUGUUAUCUGUUACCUGACAGAACUGUUGGCUUUUCGUUGUUGUUAUUUUUGUUCUAGUGUUCUCAGUAUUAAAUAAUUAUGAACACUUACCACUCUGCGCUUUGGUCCCCUUCUUCUAACGACAGCCGUUACAAAUCUAAAUAAACUACUAGAUCUCUAUGAUGACAGUGUCUCAG
rnacentral:lncRNA from 1 species